UACGGAGGGAGCUAGCGUUGUUCGGAAUUACUGGACGUAAAGCGCACGUAGGCGGCUUUGUAAGUUAGAGGUGAAAGCCCGGGGCUCAACCCCGGAAUUGCCUUUAAGACUGCAUCGCUUGAAUCCGGGAGAGGUGAGUGGAAUUCCGAGUGUAGAGGUGAAAUUCGUAGAUAUUCGGAAGAACACCAGUGGCGAAGGCGGCUCACUGGACCGGUAUUGACGCUGAGGUGCGAAAGCGUGGGGAGCAAACAGG
rnacentral:rRNA from 1 species